rnacentral:snRNA from 1 species
AGCUUUGUGCAGUGGCAAUAUCGUAGUCAGUGAGGUUUAUCCAGGGAGCAAUUAUUGCUAACUGAAAAAAUUUCUCAAUACCCCACUAUGACAACUUGAAAUACAGUUGGCAUUGGCAAUUUUUGACAGUCUCUAUAAGAGA